CCCCCCCUCGGGGGGAGGGCCGGGGGCGGGGCGGACUGUCCCCAGUGCGCCCCGGGCGGGUCGCGCCGUCGGGCCCGGGGGAACCGGCCACGCCGCCCGCGAGGGCGGAAGCGAGCGCACGGGGUCGGCGGCGACGUCGGCCACCCACCCGACCCGUCUUGAAACACGGACCAAGGAGUCUGACACGUGCGCGAGUCAGGGGCUCGCUCGAAAGCCGCCGUGGCGCAAUGAAGGUGAAGGCCCCGGCGGGCCGGCCGG
rnacentral:lncRNA from 1 species